rnacentral:tmRNA from 1 species
GGGGCUGACUUGGAUUUCGACAGAUUUCUUGUCGCACAGAUAGCAUGCCAAGCGCUGCUUGUAAAACAGCAACAAAAAUAACUGUAAACAACGCAGAUUACGCUCCAGCUUACGCUAAAGUUGCGUGAGUUAAUCUCCUUUUGGAGCUGGACUGAUUAGAAUUUCUAGCGUUUUAAUCACUCCAUAACCUUAAGCUAGACGCUUUUAAAAGGUGGUUCGCCUUUUAAACUAAGAAACAAGAACUCUUGAAACUACCUCAAGGUUUUAGAAAGUUGGACCAGAGCUAGUUUUAAGGCUAAAAACUAACCAAUUUUCUAAGCAUUGUAGAAGUUUGUGUUUAGGACAAGAUUUUUGGACUGGGGUUCGAUUCCCCACAGCUCCACCA